rnacentral:rRNA from 1 species
AGAGUUUGAUCAUGGCUCAGAAUGAACGUUGGCGGCGUGGAUUAGGCAUGCAAGUCGAGCGAGAACCGGAGCAAUCCGGGGAAAGCGGCAAACGGGGUAGUAAUGUGUCGGUACGUGCCCUCAGGUCGGGGAUAGCCAGGGGAAACUCUGAUUAAUACCCGAUGAUCUCGAGAGAGCAAAGGUCCGCUGCCGGAGGAGCGGCCGACAUGGUAUCAGGUAGUUGGUGAGGUAACGGCUCACCAAGCCUUAGACGCCUAGGGGGCGUGAGAGCGCGACCCCCACCACUGGGACUGAGAUACUGCCCAGACACCUACGGGUGGCUGCAGUCGAGAAUCUUCCGCAAUGGGCGCAAGCCUGACGGAGCGACGCCGCGUGCGGGAUGAAGGCCCUUGGGUUGUAAACCGCUGUCAGGGGGGAUGAAAGCCGCAAGGCUGACAGAGCCCCAGAGAG